rnacentral:rRNA from 1 species
AGCGGCGGAUGGGUGAGUAACACGUGGGGAACCUGCCCCUAAGUCUGGGAUACCAUUUGGAAACAGGUGCUAAUACCGGAUAAUAAAGCAGAUCGCAUGAUCAGCUUUUGAAAGGCGGCGUAAGCUGUCGCUAAGGGAUGGCCCCGCGGUGCAUUAGCUAGUUGGUAAGGUAACGGCUUACCAAGGCGACGAUGCAUAGCCGAGUUGAGAGACUGAUCGGCCACAUUGGGACUGAGACACGGCCCAAACUCCUACGGGAGGCAGCAGUAGGGAAUCUUCCACAAUGGACGCAAGUCUGAUGGAGCAACGCCGCGUGAGUGAAGAAGGUUUUCGGAUCGUAAAGCUCUGUUGUUGGUGAAGAAGGAUAGAGGUAGUAACUGGCCUUUAUUUGACGGUAAUCAACCAGAGAGUCACGGCUAACUACGUGCCGGCAGCCGCGGUAAUACGUAGGUGGCAAGCGUUGUCCGGAUUUAUUGGGCGUAAAGCGAGCGCAGGCGGAAAAAUAAGUCUAAUGUGAAAGCCCUCGGCUUAACCGAGGAACUGCAUCGGAAACUGUUUUUCUUGAGUGCAGAAGAGGAGAGUGGAACUCCAUGUGUAGCGGUGGAAUGCGUAGAUAUAUGGAAGAACACCAGUGGCGAAGGCGGCUCUCUGGUCUGCAACUGACGCUGAGGCUCGAAAGCAUGGGUAGCGAACAGGAUUAGAUACCCUGGUAGUCCAUGCUGUAAACGAUGAGUGCUAAGUGU